rnacentral:rRNA from 1 species
CAGUAGCCGCGGGAAUACGAAGGGGGCUAGCGUUGUUCGGAUUUACUGGGCGUAAAGGGUGCGUAGGCGGAUUGUUAAGUCAGGGAUGAAAUCCCGAGGCUCAACCUCGGAACUGCCUUUGAUACUGGCGAUCUUGAGUCCGGGAGAGGUGAGUGGAACUGCGAGUGUAGAGGUGAAAUUCGUAGAUAUUCGGAGGAACACCAGUGGCGAAGGCGGCUCACUGGACCAUUACUGACGCUGAGGUGCGAAAGCGUGGGGAGCAAACAGGAUUAGAUACCCCCGUAGUCCCUGUCUCUUAUAC